rnacentral:lncRNA from 1 species
GGCAGUAUAGAGUCAAAAAGCAACACUGGAAAAGGGAGAGAAAAGAGCAAAACAAAAUUAGGCUGGAGUGGGUUUUUUAGUUUAGUUUUGUUUUGUUUUGUUUUGUUUUGUUUUGUUUGUGCAUUAAGAAGCAUAGCAGGCUUCAACAUGACUUGCUGGCUAAAAGUUCUAACAUGAAGAGUCUUUUCAAGCAGAUACCCCACAGAAUUCCUCUUAUACAUCAAAUGGAGUAUCAGAAUCCUUUGGUCAUAACCUUAAUAUCAGACAAUUAUAUGUGGAUAUUUGUAAAGAUACAUUUUCAACAAUUCAAUUAAAUACAAUGGACCAAAAUCUGAUAGAUUCCAGAAAGUUUUGCCUUUCCCUUUUCAUCAAAUCUUACGUACCUGAAAUUAUCUUGCAUAGGGCUGUUCACUUACACUCAGACUUUAAGCUCCUUUAAAGGCACCUGUGCUCUAAGAGAAAAGAUUUCAAUGAAAGGUAUGCUAAGACUCGGGCUCUGCCACUUAUUUAGGCCUGUGAGUAAGGGCAAGCCACCGACCUGUUUAUGCUCUGAUUGGCUUAUCUGUAUAAUGAAGUUACUAAUACCUACCACAGGAGAUUGUAAGAAUUUCUAAAAUUCAAUGAAUUUGAACUAUUUUAUAAAUGCUGGAGUUGCACUGGGGUUCACACCUGGAAUCCCAGCACUUUGAGAUGCUGAGGCAGGAGGAUAGCUUCAGGGGAGGAGUUCAAGACCAGUCUGGUCAACAUAAUGAGAUCCUAUCUCUAAAAAGAAAUUGAAAAAAUUAGACAGAUGGUGGCACACACCUCUAGUCCCCACCACUCAGGAGGCUUGAGGUGGGGGGAUUGCUUGAUUCCAGAAGUUCAAGGCUGUUGUGAACUAUGAAUCACAACACUGCACUCCAGCCCGGGCAACAGAGUAACACCCUGUCUCUAAAAAAAUUGAAAUUAACUUUAAAAAAUAUAUAGCCCUGGGCUAUUCCAUGAAAAUGCUCCUGGAAUUGGUGAUCUUCUAAACCAGGGGUCCCCAAAUCCCACGGCGCAGACUGUUAUGAGUCCAUGGCCUGUUAGGAACUAGGCCACACAGGAGGAGGUGAGCAGCAGGCAAGCUAGCAUUGCUACCUGAGCUCCGCCCCCUGUCAGAUCAGCGGUGGCAUUAGAUUCCCAUAGGAGCGCAAGCCCUACUGUGAACUGUACAUGCGAGAGAUCUAGAUUGUAUGCUUCUUAUGAGAAUCUAACUAAUCCCUGAUGAUCUGAGGUGGAACAGUUUCAUCCUGAAACCUUUCCCAACCUCCAUCCGUGGAAAAAUUGUCUUCCAUGAAACCGGUCCCUCGUGCCAAAAAGGUUGGGGACCGCUGCUUUAAACUAUUUCCAUUCUCUUAUGCAGAAGUGAUAUGCAUAGCAAAUUUUUCCAUCAGAACAAGUUUUGAUUAAACUUGACAGCUUGAGGAGAAUGCAGGGAGCAUUAAGAAGGAGGAUGUUUAAAGGAGGAAAUGGGGGAAAAUGGCCCAUUGUGAAAACAAAUUUCUGUAUCUCAUAACUAUGUAUUGGUAAAGUAUGCUUCACUUGUAAACCUGAAGGAAACAAGUUAGUGAAUAGAGAUCAUUUAAUACAUGUUCUCUAUACUAUGACUAUUUGUUUUAUUGCAGUUUUUAAGAUGAGAUCUCAGUGGGAUGGAUUAGACUUGACAUUUUUUUCUGGGGAUGAGCUCUUGUGAUCGCUAGAGAAGAAAGGGAGUAGAGAAAAUCCAGCCUUGGUUGAAGCGGAGAGGGGUCAAGAUGCCACAGGUGGAGAAGAGGAUACAGCUCCCAUUAGAGGAACAUUUUAAAGUGUGUGGCUACCCAUCUUGUAAACCUGUAAAAGAUUUCUCUAGCUCAGAACUAUGUAUUGGUAAAGUAUGCUUUGACUAUAUCAGGGGAAAUCUUUAGGUUGUUUUUAUUUCUACUUACCAUGAACUCAAUCUAGGCUUAAUUUUAGCUCUAUCUUUUGGAAAUCCUAAAAAAUAAAAUUGUUCAGUGUAAGUUUGUAUUCUCUCCUCCUCCCGCAGAACCAGAAAACAUGACUGAUCUUUAUUUUUAUUUUUAUUUUUAUUUUUAUUUUUUAUUUUUUAGAUGGAUUUUUGCUCUUGUUGCUCAGAGUGGAGUGCAAUGGCGCAAUCUUGGCUCACUGCAACCUCCAACUCACGGAUUCAAGGGAUUCUCCUCUCUCAGCCUCCCAUCUUGCUUCUAUUAUAAUUUGUAUUCAGUUAAUCAUACUGAGAUUGGCUUGAAAUCAUUUGUUUACUUAUUACUAUUUUUAAAUAUAUUAGUUUAUUAUUUUUAAACAUACUCAUUGAAUUAGUAAUGAGUAGAAGCCUUCCUUGGCCUGGGAUACAAUUACUCAAGUCACUUUAGGUCAUGAUAAAAGUUGUACAAAUCUCAGUACUCAUGGAGUUGCUCAUUUUCUGUUUGUUUUGGGGAAUUUAAGCUACAGAGCUAGGUUCUUCUUACAUAUCAUCCAGGGCCAGAGGGCAUUCAUCUCCUUACCUUUCUUUCAGUUGGGAUGUUUGACUGGAAUAAUAGAGGCUGAAAUUACUACAGUAUCUACAACACAUAUAAUAUAUAUCAUAGGAAAGAGAAGAGGUGGAACAUGAAGAAGUAAUGAAGAAAGAAUAAAUUUCAGGAAUUUUAGGAGUUUUCAGAAUAACUACACAUGCUAUUGGAUAAGUGAAACGAAAUACCAUUUCUAUCCACCAAAGGAAGCUGAUUUAAUAGCAAUUGCUAUGCAUAUUAGCAUCCUAAUUAAGACUUUAAUUUAUUGUCACAAGCAUUUACUAGGAAUCCUUGUGGCACAAUCCAAGGCACUUCAAGAGAGUGGAACACAGCUCCUCAAAAUAGGCAUGUUGGUAGUUGAAAAUGUACGCCAGUGGAAACCAUUCAUGGUCAAUUACAUCAUAGAUAGAUAGGUACUGGGGAAUUAAGUUAAAGGGCAUAAUUUUUUAAUUAGCCUAAACUUUCUUUGAAUGAACUUGCACCAAGAUUUAAUAGUAAGAAAGAUCUGAAAUUUCUAUCCUUAUUAGAAAGCAGCAGGCUGCUGCAUGACUUGGGGAAUUCCUAGCCACAAAAUGUUGUGGAAUGCUGUUUUUUGGAAGUAUCAACAGUUGAUUUCAAGCAAAGUGAAGAUAUAAUAUUAGGGUAGAAUGAGCAUUUGUCUCCCUUCAGAUGCCAAGUAUUUAAGACUGUAACAAGAAAUUGAAAACAGGAAUUUAAGAAGGAGAAAAGUUUUUAUCAUUUGAAACUUGAAACCAAGGAAUUUAAUACUAGUGAUGACCAACUUAUGCACAGAAGGGAUUUUUAAAGCCUGGAAAGAUAAGCACAGAGAAUCAUUGCAUCUCAUGGCACAGAUACAAUAGAAGACAGGGGAUCCAGUGAAGGCCAAGGCAAAGAUGGUCAUGGCCUGUACGUGAAAGCACAUCAGUUCUUGAGUGGUGGGGUAGGAAAGAGGCAGGGAUUUGGCAGAGCAAUACUGUGUGGAAUAGGCUGGCUUUUGAGAUGACUGAUUCUCUCUGGUAAGUGGAGAGUUACCUACCUACAUGUUAUCUUCUAGGAUGUGGAAACAGACUCUAGUGUAUGGACUUGGAAAAGUGUCAAAUUGAUAUCAUUGACUUAAUAUCUUAACUUAAAAAUUACAUGUAGAGAAAGCCUUACAAAAAAAGCGUCCUUUAUUGUACUUGUUUAUAUGCUAUAUACCCUGCUAAUCUCUUUGAUUUUUAAGAUUCUCCAUGAGAUACAUGAUGACAAACAUACAAUGUGAAUCUUUUCUGUAGGAUGAAACAAUUGUAAUAUCUCUGUCAAAUUGGAACAAAUAUACAACAAUCAGCAGCAAUCAUCUUGGGAAACAGAGGUCAAGGUUGGGGUCUUGCUAUGUUGGUUAGGCUGGACUUGAACCCCUGGGCUCAAACAAUCCUCCCACUUCAGCCACCUGAGUAGCUGGGAAUAUGAGUGGAAUCAGAUCUCAGUGAUGAGAUUCACAUGAAAGAAACAGCUUAAUCUUAACCUGUAUCCUGUAAGUUUAAAAUUAAACUAUCGUUAACCAUCAAAA